rnacentral:rRNA from 1 species
UACGUAGGGGGCAAGCGUUGUCCGGAUUUAUUGGGCGUAAAGAGCGUGUAGGCGGCUUCACAGGUCCGCUGUGAAAACUCGAGGCUCAACCUCGAGAUGUCGGUGGAAACCGUGUGGCUAGAGUCCGGAAGAGGAGAGUGGAAUUCCCGGUGUAGCGGUGAAAUGCGCAGAUAUCGGGAAGAACACCCGUGGCGAAGGCGGCUCUCUGGGACGGUACUGACGCUGAGGCACGAAAGCGUGGGGAGCAAACAGG